rnacentral:rRNA from 1 species
UUUACGGAGAGUUUGAUCCUGGCUCAGGAUGAACGCUGGCGGCGUGCUUAACACAUGCAAGUCGAACGGUGAACACGGAGCUUGCUCUGUGGGAUCAGUGGCGAACGGGUGAGUAACACGUGAGCAACCUGCCCCUGACUCUGGGAUAAGCGCUGGAAACGGCGUCUAAUACUGGAUAUGUGACGUGACCGCAUGGUCUGCGUUUGGAAAGAUUUUUCGGUUGGGGAUGGGCUCGCGGCCUAUCAGCUUGUUGGUGAGGUAAUGGCUCACCAAGGCGUCGACGGGUAGCCGGCCUGAGAGGGUGACCGGCCACACUGGGACUGAGACACGGCCCAGACUCCUACGGGAGGCAGCAGUGGGGAAUAUUGCACAAUGGGCGGAAGCCUGAUGCAGCAACGCCGCGUGAGGGAUGACGGCCUUCGGGUUGUAAACCUCUUUUAGCAGGGAAGAAGCGAAAGUGACGGUACCUGCAGAAAAAGCGCCGGCUAACUACGUGCCAGCAGCCGCGGUAAUACGUAGGGCGCAAGCGUUAUCCGGAAUUAUUGGGCGUAAAGAGCUCGUAGGCGGUUUGUCGCGUCUGCUGUGAAAUCCCGAGGCUCAACCUCGGGCCUGCAGUGGGUACGGGCAGACUAGAGUGCGGUAGGGGAGAUUGGAAUUCCUGGUGUAGCGGUGGAAUGCGCAGAUAUCAGGAGGAACACCGAUGGCGAAGGCAGAUCUCUGGGCCGUAACUGACGCUGAGGAGCGAAAGGGUGGGGAGCAAACAGGCUUAGAUACCCUGGUAGUCCACCCCGUAAACGUUGGGAACUAGUUGUGGGGUCCAUUCCACGGAUUCCGUGA